rnacentral:lncRNA from 1 species
GAUAAGGCCACGUGUGGUGGAGAGGAAGCAGGGCUCUUGGAGCCUCGGGCACAGCGGACACCUUGGCACAGUCCCUCUGACGGAGCUCGGGUUGGCUGGUGUGGAACCCCAGGUUUUCCAUGUGAUGUUGUGACGACUGUGUUCGGUCAUAUUGACACUUAUUUGGCACCUAUGGUAUGCAGAGCUUCCGGAAAUACUGAUCAUGUGGCCUGUUGAUAUGACUUCUAAGUGUGUGGAAGCAGCUUCCUUUUCUGCAGCAUCGCCUGCCCUUGGCCUCCCGGCACCUGCAGCCCGCCUGCCCCAGAAGCCACUUUCUAAUGUCACAGCCCCGUCGUUUCCCUCUAAGUGCUUCGUGGUCUUUGGCUCCUGGUGGCAGCUCUCUGGGUGCUGUUGUCCGGGUGCUGUCGGUGAGGGACCAACCGUUCCGUGGGGUCACAGGCUCACGUGACGUGCUCUGCCACUUUGGGCGGCCCCACUUUGCCCCCAGCCUCUAACCGAGCGGGGGCGUCCCCGCCUCCUGCGGCUCCAGGAACGGCUCUCCUGCGCUGCGGGACCGCGUCCUUCUGCUCUGCACGCUCUCGGGUCCCAGCCAUCCAUGUGCCUGGACCCAUCCUGCCGCCCGGCACCGUCAGACCUGGCCUUAGAUUUAUCAUCACCUGUCGUCUGCCUGCUGUUCUAGGUUGUGCGUUCUUUGCUCAAGGUCAGGUGACCGUCUGAGCCACUGUCCAGUUGGGACUCAGGGGAGGGAACGGAGCACUGCUGACUGCAGAGCAACGACGGGCCCGGCCAAGUCACGGGACGCCCUAUUUAAGGGAAAGGGCUUGUCCAGCUCGUCUGUUUUUUCCACGGUGCCUAGACGGCAGCUUGGAAUAUUGGGGGCGCUGAGUUUGCUGCACUUGUUGAACGUGUGAAAGAGGGGACGUGUUGCCAGGACAGGGAGGCUGCGUUUUUACCGUCCAUCCCCAGGGAGCCGCACUGCCAGCCCCGCAGGGGCGAGAUGGCAUUGCUGCCGCUGUUGCAACAGUCAGAGAAACGUGAGAUGUCCGAGCCCCACAGAACGUGGCAUCGUCUGUCACACGGGACGUCUGUCCCAGUGCCUGGGACCACGGGGGUUGGAACCCACUGACCUCUCUGUCCCCGGGGCGGCCAGGAGGUGGUCCGAGGGUUGGCACCGGGGUGGGGAGCGGGAGGAGUCUGCCCGCCCAGGAGCCCACUUUCUGAUGAGGAAACACUAGCCCAGACGGAGGAUGAAAAACCUCAGCCCUCCCGGCUUCCAGCUGCCACCGUCCAAGAAGGAGAACUGAGUUGUGGUCUGAGGCGCUGGACCGUGCGGAUGGGGCUGACGACGGCAGAUUCUUCGGUUUGGGCAAAUAACGUAAGAGACAUCGAUCAGGAAUCCCUUUUGCCCUUGGCCCGUAAGGAGGACAGGAGCUGCUUGGAGAAUGAUGCACACCGUUUAACAGCGUGAGUUAGGACAGCGCGUUUCUGAGUCCGGGAACCCGCGACUGUUUGGGUUUCUCCGAGACUGCGGUGCUUGUGUGUGCGCGUCCGCGAGUGUGUGUGCGUGUGCCUGUGUGUAUGUUGCCUUCGUAAGGAGGGGAAAUUAUAACGCACUCCAGUUUGUCUCUACCAUGUGCGGUGUUUGGGUUCUGAGGGACUUCGAUCAGAAUGGCCACACCCUGGACAGGCCUCCUUCGGACUUUGGGUGGCACGGGCGGACUUUAAAUCCCUCCUUCCAGCUCCGCCAGACGUCACCGCUGGGUCAGGCAGUCAGUGGCACAAAUCCAGCUGACCACCCUGUGCACAGCCUGUGGGCAGGGACUCGGAUGACAAGGAGAACUGCCCUGCGCUGCUCAGGAUUCCGAGGGAGGACCCUCGGCGGGAAGACCUGCGAUGGACACGUGCCGGGGGUUCCAGGCUCUUCCUUCUGAGCGCAGGGUGCCUCUGCCAGGUCAGGGGCACGCGGCAGCUGGGCGAGCCAAGCACCCUGGAGUCCAGAUACUUCCAGCCCCAAGAAUGCUCUCCAGCCGGGUAACAACCUUCUCCAAGUGUCUGGUUAGGGUCCUGUAAUAGGGUUGGGGGGUGAGGGUCAAAGGUAAUGGGUUAUGGCCUCUCUCGCCGGGAGGAUCUCACCAGGAGUCGGAGACGGAAACUGCAUACUCUGUGUUAAACUCUAAAAGCAGCGCAGGGAAGUUCAAGUCAAAGAUAACGGAAGGGAGCCACAUCUUAGGGUUCCCGUCCCCAGAUCCAGUGAAAUAAAUAAAGUAAAAAAACAAAAGUUGCAAAAAUAUUAACUGGCAGCAGGCGGGUGUUCAGCUUCACUCAUGCAUUUAAAGCGGGUAUCCGGGUAAAGGAGUAAAACCCCGCCAGUCCUGUAAGGCAGUGAGGUCCCAAGCCUCACCCUGCCUGCCCCGCCGCCCAGCCACGAACCUGCCCCAGAGCAGUGCAAGGGAGAAGGAUGACUCGAUAAAAUAGAGAGUUUACUGUGUACCCAGUUUGGAAGCUAGCCAGGUGUGGGUGAGUAGGCAGUUUGUUCCUGCACCUGAUUACAGCGGCCCAGAGCCACCGAGGAGUCAGAGGGAGGAAGAGGUAAGUUUCAUGUCACACACUCCGAAUUCUAAGCAGGAUAAAGACAGAUGUACUUAGGAACUUGGUAUAAUAUUACGGACAAAGAGAAUCUUAAAAUCUGUGGGGCACGUGCACCAAAUAACUUACAAAAGGGUAACAGUGAGAAAGACAGCUGUUCCCUCGUCGUCACUGGCAGACUGCUGAAGGGGCCAUGUCUGCAAAGGGCUGAGAACAGCGGAUACAGUCCCCCCUUGGUACCCAGGGGGUUCGUUCCAGGGCCCGCAGAGGUCCCCAGAUCUGAGGGUGCUCCAGUUGCUCUUGUAAACUGGCAGAUGGCAGCUGACCCUCCAUGUCCUGGCUUCUGUCCCUGUGGGUUCAAGCAGCCGCAGGCCCAUCUGAGGUCAGUUGAGUCCAUGCCGCACUGCAGACACGAGUGCCAGCUGCAGCGCGCUUAGCACGCAGUUUAGCAUCCGAAGUGAGAGCGACAGGACAGCAUCUUCAGACACACGAAGGGCCACGGUGAGAGAGCUUCUAAAGGGUGCACCUCAGCCAGAAGAAAACCAAACCCGGUUGGAAGUGUUGGCAGAAAGAAGCAGGACUGAUUAGAGACACAGGCAAAUGACAUUCCUCCGCAAAUGUAGUGGGUCCUUUGUCAUAACACUAAAGCACGAGGUACUGAAAGUACCGGGCAGUAACCACCCGGAAUUUGGGAGAAAGAGUUUGCAGGAAACCAGCGGGUUCACAGGCUUCUCUUAAUUGGAGGGAGUGUAUGGAAAUUGACCAACUUUGUAUUUUGUUACAAAAAUGCAAAAAGCAUGCAAGUUAGAAAAAUAUAAAGGCAACUGCUAAACUAAUAGAAUGUAACCUAAGACUUCCAAGUAGGGGAGACUAGAGAUGGCGAGAUAAUGAUUCGUCUAAGAAAAGGCAGAAAAGGAGAAGUCAAAAUUCUAAAACAGUAAGCGGGAAAUACAGGAUAAGGGGGUGGAAAUAUAUCAGGAACCGCAGUACCUGAAACCAUAGAAUUCACUUAGGUUUUGUCUAAAAGACAGAGACUUGAUAUUGAAAAAUCUGCUCUAUGAAAUUUACGAGACACGCUUAAAACGCAAUUAUUAAAUAAAUGUAAGGCUGAGAAUCAUGGGAAGGGGAAUACCAGGAGAAUAUUAACUGAAACAAAAUUAAUACAACUACCUUAAUAUGGCCUGAAAUACAUUCGUAGGGCAAGUUAUGGAUAAACUUGAUCAUAAAUGAGACACUCCAUCAGUGACUGACCACAUUGCAAACUUCCCUGCACCUAAUUUUAUGGUUUUGCAAAAUAUAUGACAAAACGCCACAGAAUUAGGAGUAGAAAUGGAAAAAUCCAUAAUCCGAGCGGGAGUUAGUACAAGUGUCUCUCAGAAGCGGAUAGACGAAGUUGAUAAAAGUAAACUUAUAGAUUAUUAAAAUAAUGCAGUUAUUCUUGACGGUGUACACACACCUAUGCCAGCACCGAAUAGGGCGUGGACGUGUUCACCGAUGAAGAGAAAAUUUAAAAAAAUUAUCUAUAACUGGGCCCGAAAGGGAGUCUCCAUAAACCCAAAGAAUGUCUAUGAUACAGACCACCUUUGCUGGCAACUGUAGAGUGAAAUUAUUUAUAAAGAUGGAAAACCUCCCACGCCCCUUCCAAAACCAUUCAUUUGGAAAUCAAACUUACAGUCAUGAACAAGUCACGGCAGUCAUGCCAUGACCUCGUUUGCAUACAAUUGCCUGUGCGAGCCUCUGUGCCCAAGGACGCAGGAAUGGGGAAUUAGCCAGAGCAGCAGCUGGUCCUUUCAGAGUGGUGAGAGUUAGGUGUUUUAAAAAGUUUCUUCCUUAUUUUUUAUUUACUCAGUGUUUCCAUAGAAUAUGGCUUAUUUAUAGAACUUUCCAUGUGAAAAUAAUUCUAAGUAUUUAUGUUUUAAAAAUAAAGCUGAGUUCCCACUGUGGUGUCGUGGUCCCUGGCCUGGGAACUUCCAUAUGCUGUGGGUGCGGCUUUAAAAAAAAAAAGUGGAGCGAGUUCCCUUUGUGGCUCAGUGGUUAACAAACCCGACUAGGAUUCAUGGGGAUGCGGGUUUGAUCCCUGGCCUCGCUCAGUGGGUUAAGGAUCCCGUGUUGUCGUGAGCUGUGGUGUAGGUUGCAGAUGUGGCUCGGAACCCGCAUGGCUGUGACUGUGGUAUAGGCUGCCAGCUAUAGCUCUGAUUCCACCCCUAGCCUGGGAACUUCCAUAUGCCGAGGGUGUGGCCUUAAAAAAAG